AGCCGUGCGGUGAGUACAUAGCGAACUAUUCUUUCGCCUUUUACUAAAGAAUACCGUGUGCUCGUCGCUAAAAGCGGCAUACGCUAAUUUUUGUGAAGGGACUUUCCUUGUGGGAAGUU